CCUGAGAAACCCAAAAGAUCGAAUGGGGAGAUUCAUCGUCAGCGAUCCUGGCACGUGUGCGGUUCGUGAUGCUUGGGACUUCGGUCCCAUGGCACGCGUCCGUAUGGUAUUAUUGCCGGGUGUCGUCGGCGUGCACUUCUCCCCUAGUAGGACGUCGCGACCCGUUGGGUGUCGGUCUACGGCCCGGGUGGGCGCCUGUCAUGUGUCACGCUUCACGGCGUCAUGUGGCAGACCCCCGGUUGUCUGACCAGCUGCUCGGCGGUACUCGCACGGUAUCGAGCCGCAAACAUUCGAACUGCGUCCGGCCCGCCGCAAGCGAGGCCAGUGUUUCCCGGAUGUACGGACCUAGUGCCGUCACCGGGCCUGGCCAGCUGUUGGUUGGCGGUGUCCUGGGACUGGCUCUAAAUUAUGAUACUGGUCGGCGACGCUACUGCUUUGGUA
rnacentral:rRNA from 1 species